rnacentral:rRNA from 1 species
AGCAGCCGCGGUAAUUCCAGCUCCAAUAGCGUAUAUUAAAGUUGUUGCAGUUAAAAAGCUCGUAGUUGAAUUUCGAGACCGGUUUAUUGGUCGUGCUUUUGUACGUACUGGUAUUAUUGGUUUCUCCUUUCUGACGAAUCUUAAUGCCAUUAAUUUGGUGUUUUGGGGAAUCAGGACUGUUACUUUGAAAAAUUAGAGUGUUUAAAGCAGGCUCACGCUUGAAUACAUUAGCAUGGAAUAACGGAAUAGGACGUUUGAUUCUAUUUUGUUGGUUUCUAGGAUCGACGUAAUGAUUAAUAGGGAUAGUUGGGGGCAUUAGUAUUCAAUUGUCAGAGGUGAAAUUCUUGGAUUUAUUGAAGACUAACUACUGCGAAAGCAUUUGCCAAGGAUGUUUUCAUUAAUCAAGAACGAAAGUUAGGGGAUCGAAGACGAUCAGAUACCGUCGUAGUCUUAACCAUAAACUAUGCCGACUAGGGAUCGGAUGAUGUUAAUUUUUAAUGACUCA